rfam:Aedes aegypti strain Liverpool supercont1.270 genomic scaffold, whole genome shotgun sequence.
UAAUCGGCCCUAUUCAGGGCCACCAAGAGUUUGGAGGAGUUCAGA